UACCUCGCCUGUGUUGUCCUGAAGUCAACUGUUAAUAUUAUUUACGUAAUUACAUUAUAAUAUUUUUGUAUUACUUGAUAAUAUUUUGUAUUAGUAACUACAAUGCUUUAAUUUGGAGUUAAAGUUGUUUAUAUUUAUUGUACUUUAUAAUCGGUAAACAGCAGUUAGAUGAUGUCACUUCCGCUAAAUUACUUCCUGUUGGUUGACUUCCGGUAUUUGUUCGAAAGCUAGAGAUACAUUUUGUGGUUUUCUGUAGUACUUUGUUGUUGCCAUCCUACACAAAGCGGCGAAGAAGCAAUGCCUUUUUCACCAUCUUGUCUAUGAAGGAAUUGUCAAAAGUAAAUGGUCAAGCUUACAA